rnacentral:rRNA from 1 species
GAUGAACGCUGGCGGCGUGCCUAAUACAUGCAAGUCGAACGAAAAGACGAGGAGCUUGCUGCUUUGACGUUAGCGGCACACGGGAGUGUAACACGUAGGUAACCUCCCUAUCUUUCUGGGAACACUACGGGACAGGGGCGAAAAUCCGAGAUGAUCUUUCGCAGCGCAUGGGUCGAUGGUGAAAGUCGGCUUUGCUGUAACUACUCGCGGCAUAUGCGCCGUAUUGGCUGGUUGGUAAGGUAAAGGCUUAUGAAGGGUAGGAUUCGUGACCGACGGGAGUGGGUGAUAGGCCACACUGGAACGGAGACACGGUCCAGACGCCUACGAGAGGCAGCAGUAGGGAAUGGGCCGCAAUGGGCGAAAGCCUGACGGAACAACGCCGCGUGAGUGAUGAAGGUCUUCGGAUCGUAAAACUGUGUUAUGAGGGAAGAACAAACGUGUAAGUAACUGUGCACGGCUUGACGGUAACUAAUCAGAAAGCCACGGCUAACUACGUG